GAAAUAUGAGGUACAAAAAAAAGCUUCUAACUUUUUAUUUUAACGAUUAAAUUUCGUUUAUAUUUCU
rnacentral:tRNA from 1 species